CUUAUGUAUGUGUAAAGGAGAGAGACAGAAAAGGAGGGUGAAAGGAGACACAGAGACAGACAGACAGACACAUAGAUAGAAACCCCAAAGGGGUUUGGGCAUUGCAACCCUGGAAAACCAUCUGAGCAAAGAUAGUAGAGAGGGAAGCUGUAGGGUGCACUUGGGAAGGAGGUAUUACUAAAGUCUGGUGCCAUCCUGCUUAACCAGCUUCCAUUCACCUGCCCUUCUGUUGCCUCCCAGUUAUUUCCUUUCUGCCCUGCAGCUUUGUCUACAACCCUCUAUAUAUCUUUGUUCCCUUGCAGAAUUGAGCAGGCACAGGGCUAUCCCACAAACCUAGCCCAGAGAAUUGUGGGAGAUGUAGUUUCUGAGGAAGACAGUAUCAUCUGGCCUUGGGCAUGAACUUGGUGCUUUCUUUUCAAAGCCUCCAAGCCCAUUCCCACACCCUGGUGUGUGCUGUGGGAAGAGCCCUUUGGGCCAGGGAAAGGGGCUGGGCCCAGGCUGUUGUAGGGAAAGCCAUUUGUGGAGGGGAUCUCCAUCCAGAGCUGGUUGUGUUAUUCAGUCGCUGCAAUAAUCUCCAAGAUUUUUUAUUCUUUGUUUUUAGUUCCUCUUUUUCGCAAAAACCUGUGGUUAAGGAAUUUUGAGAACAGUUCGGAAGAUCAUGAUAUACUCUUGGGGAAUAUCUAUUUUUCUAGAGAUAAGAAAAUGUUUAAUAAGAUGAGACAGACGGAGUUACAACUUCAGCUGUAUGAGUUUCUGAAAGAAUUUUCUGACUCUUUGAGGAAGAUAAAGAAGAGGAAGGAAAUCAAUUGGGAUGAAGUGAUGCCCAAAAGGCCUCUUCUUGCAGAAAUCAUUGUGUUCGGCUGUCUGUCCAUCCUGUUUGCUUUGACUGGUGGAGCAGUUCUGUGGUUAACAUUAUAUAACCUCUUGAAGCAAGAAGACAAUGGGAAAAACAAUGGGAAAAACAAUGGGAAAAACAACGGGAGAAACAGCCUGGAAUUUAGAAAUUAUGCUGAAAUGAUAAGUUCCUCACAAUCACCAAUUGAUUCCAGGUGGGAAGUAAGGGACUCAUCUGGUAUGGACUCUGAAAAGGAAAAGCACUUCAAAGCUUUACUCCAUUCAGUUUUGAAAAUUGAAAGGAAGAAAAAGAGACGAAAGAGAAGACGAAGAUCAGAUCCCAAACUGGAUAUAACAAGAAAAAGAAUAUUAGCUCAGAAAAAGGAAAGUGGAAUUUUAGAAAUUGACAUGGAAGACACCAAAUUUUUCAAGCUGAAUGGGCAAAUGUAUUACAUCGGGAAAACUAUCGAAGAGAACGUACAAGAUGAUGAGUGGGACAACCAGGUCCACAUAGCAGGCUUCCCUAAUAUGUUUCCAACAGACACAAUCAACCUUUAAACAUCAACCUUACAGCAAAAGAAAAUAAGGUUGGAAGUAGAAGUAGAAAGGAAAUAAAAAUUGUGUGAAAUCAUAGCUCUUGUUUUUC
rnacentral:lncRNA from 1 species